ACUCAAAUGAAUAGACGGGGACCCGCACAAGCAGUGGAGUAUGUGGUUUAAUUCGACGCAACGCGAAGAACCUUACCAGGACUUGACAUCCUGCUAACGAGGCAGAGAUGCGUUAGGUGCCCUUCGGGGAAAGCAGAGACAGGUGGUGCAUGGUUGUCGUCAGCUCGUGUCGUGAGAUGUUGGGUUAAGUCCCGCAACGAGCGCAACCCUCGCGGUUAGUUGCUACGUAAGAGCACUCUAGCCGGACUGCCGUUGACAAAACGGAGGAAGGUGGGGACGACGUCAAAUCAUCAUGCCCCUUACGUCCUGGGCUACACACGUACUACAAUGGCGGUAUUACAACGGGUAGCAACCACGCGAGUGGAAGCCAAUCCCUUAAAAGCCGCCUCAGUUCGGAUUGCAGGCUGAAACCCGCCUGCAUGAAGCCGGAAUUGCUAGUAAUCGCGGAUCAGCAUGCCGCGGUGAAUACGUUCCCGGGUCUUGCACACACCGCCCGU
rnacentral:rRNA from 1 species